rnacentral:rRNA from 1 species
GCAUAUCAAUAAGCGGAGGAAAAGAAACCAACAGGGAUUGCCCUAGUAACGGCGAGUGAAGCGGCAACAGCUCAAAUUUGAAAUCUGGCUUCGGCCCGAGUUGUAAUUUGCAGAGGAAGCUUUAGGCGCGGCACCUUCUGAGUCCCCUGGAACGGGGCGCCACAGAGGGUGAGAGCCCCGUAUAGUUGGAUGCCUAGCCUGUGUAAAGCUCCUUCGACGAGUCGAGUAGUUUGGGAAUGCUGCUCAAAAUGGGAGGUAAAUUUCUUCUAAAGCUAAAUACCGGCCAGAGACCGAUAGCGCACAAGUAGAGUGAUCGAAAGAUGAAAAGCACUUUGAAAAGAGGGUUAAAUAGCACGUGAAAUUGUUGAAAGGGAAGCGCUUGUGACCAGACUUGCGCCCGGCUGAUCAUCCGGUGUUCUCACCGGUGCACUCUGCCGGGCUCAGGCCAGCAUCGGUUCUCGCGGGGGGAUAAAGGCCCUGGGAACGUAGCUCCUCCGGGAGUGUUAUAGCCCAGGGUGUAAUGCCCUCGCGGGGACCGAGGUUCGCGCAUCUGCAAGGAUG